UUUCUAUACACAAAAUUUAUUUCUGUUCUAACUAGGAGAGGCUGUGGUCUAAUGGUUAGCGCACAAUUUUUAAUCUAGCAUAAAAUGUUAUUGCAGCAUAUUUAAUGUAGGUACAACUUAAGAAAACUGCAUGAGCUGUAUACAUAGCAAAUUAAGAUCUUAUAAGAUCAAGCAAGCAACGAGCAACAUCCAGUUAUUUCUCACGAACCUCUUCAAAAACUGUGAGUUAUAGUGAGAUGAGAAAUCCGCUACCUUGGCAACCUUGUGAGCCGCGGCCACCUUGGAGGCGGCCACGCUGCGCCGCUGAGGUUUCGGUUUGUUUACAACUUUACACGUGACGGUGAAGCGGCCACGGCCAGCAGGAGCGGCUGAAGGAUUUCCGCCGCAUGGCAACAGUUUCCUUCAAAAUGUGUGGGAAGUAAAGAGAGUGGAUGCAAGAGAUAAUAAGACGUGGGUAGGAGGCGAACUCGGCGAUCGAAGUUCCGAAGCGUGUGCCAAGUCGAGGUUUCGUCUAGCCCUCGAUGUGAAGGUGGGUCUCACUCUCUCCUCGUCCUCCGUGAAGCUCCGAGCACGCGGCGGCCAGGUUGGAGUAACAAGCAAGGCAGCCCAGGCUAGUGGAUGUAGCGACUAGAUGUGGGAUGAUGGGGAUGACACGUUUUCUUGACUGAAGGUUAUAUCAACAAGUUUGUGCUGAUACUUCAAUUAACUGCUUGUGCUCGAGAUUUGUUACCGGUCCGGAGAUUAUCCAUUUUUGGGUUAGUAAGGUCUACUUAUCGAUAUAUUGGGCAGUAGUGGUGGGUGGCGGCAAGUCCAUAGCUUGUUCAAAAGGAGGGCGAAUUGGCGGUUUUGGUUUCGGAUGUGAAGGCAUGGGAAAGGUAAUCGCAUGGGGGGCGCGUAUGCAGAUAUGCGAAUGCUAAACUGGGAAAUAUUACUCCUUUGUUUAAACAGUGGUUCUCCAAAGCAGUUUCGGUGCCUUAGUCUGCACUGUAGUCAAAACUUCCGGUAGGUAGAUAACCUGCGUACGGGCAAGCUGGAGUCUUGGGACGUGUCCCGCGGUGUUGCGAAUGAGUGAUAGGCAUGGUGAAGGUUAAACAUUUACGCAGGUUCGAAAAUGAUGUGUUCAUGUGACUAUUUAUUAUGCAUGUGUUCGGUCUGUAUGCCAUAUGAUGCACGCAGAUUUGCUUCUUUUAAACUUUGCAUUAUGGUAGUAAGAGGGGGGUUAAUGAUUGGGGAAUAAGUAAACACUUCCCACCUAGUCUGUAUAUAGGUGAUUGCGUCACCCGCCCCGCUAGAUGCUCCGUCGCGUGGAAAGCACGGAGGGUGCUCACAAAUAAGCUUCCACUUGAGGUUGUGAUAGUCACCGGCGGCUGACUUGGACGUUCCAUCCCUGCCGGCACCCUGAUCAAGAUAUCCCUCUGUUGCAUGUAUGAAGAGAACGUAGUGUGUCAGACUCUUUGAUUAAGCAGGGUUGCGAGAUUAAGUAGCUUCGUCGUUUUAAGUCCGUGGACUACUUAACUUUAUUUUUAUUUUUUUUAAUAUUCCUGGGCUUGAAGAACCUGUAAUGAUUUCUCCGGAGACUUUGCAAGGUAUCCUAAUACAAUGGUUUAACGUGAAAUAAAAGUCCAUGUGA